GCCGGGCGUGGUGGCACAUGCCUGUAAUCCCAGCUACUCGGGAGGCUGAGGCAGGAGAAUCGCUUGAACCCAGGAGGCAGAGGUUGCAGUGAGCCGAGAUUGUACCACUGCACUCCAGCCUGGGAGACAGAGCGAGACCCUGUCUCAA
ensembl:misc_RNA Metazoa_SRP Metazoan signal recognition particle RNA